UGGGGAAUAUUGGACAAUGGGCGGAAGCCUGAUCCAGCAACGCCGCGUGAGGGAUGACGGCCUUCGGGUUGUAAACCUCUUUCGGUAGGGACGAAGCGCAAGUGACGGUACCUACUAAAGAAGCACCGGCCAACUACGUGCCAGCAGCCGCGGUAAUACGUAGGGUGCGAGCGUUGUCCGGAAUUAUUGGGCGUAAAGGGCUCGUAGGCGGUUUGUCGCGUCGGGAGUGAAAACCAGGUGCUUAACACCUGGCUUGCUUUCGAUACGGGCAGACUAGAGGUAUGCAGGGGAGAACGGAAUUCCUGGUGUAGCGGUGAAAUGCGCAGAUAUCAGGAGGAACACCGGUGGCGAAGGCGGUUCUCUGGGCAUGACCUGACGCUGAGGAGCGAAAGUGUGGGGAGCGAACAGG
rnacentral:rRNA from 1 species